AAUCCUGGCUCAGGAUGAACGCUAGCUACAGGCUUAACACAUGCAAGUCGAGGGGCAGCAUUUUAGUUUGCUUGCAAACUAAAGAUGGCGACCGGCGCACGGGUGAGUAACACGUAUCCAACCUGCCGAUAACUCAGGGAUAGCCUUUCGAAAGAAAGAUUAAUACCUGAUGGCAUAGGAUUAUCGCAUGAUGAUCCUAUUAAAGAAUUUCGGUUAUCGAUGGGGAUGCGUUCCAUUUAG
rnacentral:rRNA from 1 species